ACUCUUUCUCAAAAAAAAAAGAACACCACUCCGCAGAGGGGCAGGGGACUUUGGGUGGGCGGAGGCCAAUGAGAGCGUCCAUCAGCUCCCAAGCAAGCCUGAGACCAAGGACAGAAGGCGGGCUGGGCCCCCCGACCCUUGGAGCAGCCUGGCCACAGCGCCCCAACCCAGGCCUAGCCGCACUCUCCCCCCACCCCGAAAGAGGCCCCCGCUGCCCAGCUGCCCAGCAAACAGCACACGCCAAUUCCUGCCUCUGCCUCCGCUGGCUGGGUGACCUUGGGCAGGUUAUGGAACCUCUCUGGGCCGCAGCUACCUUGUCUACAAAAUGGGGACGACAGCUAUGCUUUACUCAGGUGUUGCGAAGGUCAAGGGAGAGGCCGUGUAGAAGCGGGGCCUGCCAUGAUUGAGCACCUACUGGGUGCCAGGCCCUCUGCUGAGCCGCUGGCCCUGUUUAGGAAAGAGGCAGCCCGGGGCGCGUGGGCGUGUCCCACAGGACGCGCUCACCUGGUUGGAGCCUUCCCUGAACCAGUGUAGGAGGUCGCCAGGGGGGCAGCCCAGCUCAGCCACCGCCAACUGCCGCCCAAGGCCAGACCAGCCGCUGCCUGGUUUGGUUGCACCUUCCAACAAGGAAUGACUUUUACAUUUUUAAAUGUUUGAAAAACAAAUCGAAAGAAAAAUAGUAUUUAAUAAGCGAAAAUUAUAUGAAAUUCAAGUGUUGGUGUGCAUGAGCAGCGAUAUAGGGGCACAGCCACGUGGCUGCUUCCUCACUAAGCAGAGACCGAAAUGUCUAUUACCUGGUCCUUUUCAGAAAAAGUUUGCUGCCCUCUGGCCUGGGGGAAGCAGGGACAGAGGCCUCUGGGAAGAGAGAGUGGAACUUUCCGGGGAGCAGGGAGCUGGUGGCAGGUGUCCCGUCCGGAGGACAGACAGACAUGGAGGGCACCUGGGUGGAUGCUGGAGGCAGCUGGGCUUGCUCAGGACCUCCUCAAACACUUCCUCCCGCACGGCCCCUCGGCUGUGUGACACGCACUUUACUAAUGACCACGCUUUACCGGAACCACAGUCCACGCCAGACAGCAGGAUAAAUGGGCUCUUUCUCUGAAUCUGUGUGACCACUGCAGGACCGUGCCUGGCCCCCCGGAGUGUGUUCCUAACCCCUCUGCCAUCCCGGCUCACUCAGGCCUGUCUGUGCCCAUCUGGCAGCAGAACCGGGUGCCGGGGUUGGGGGGGGGCAGCCUGCAGCCCCCAGGCACUGUGCGGGGCAGGAGGGAGAUGCUGCUGCCUCCACUUCACAGAAGAAGAAACUGAGGCCUAGAGAGGCCUGAGGUCGCUGGGCCAGCAGGUAGUAGAUGCAAGAUUCGAACCCAGACCUCCAAGCACCCUCCACGACCCCGGCCGCCUGCAACCUGCUCCCCUCCGCUGUGGGCUGCGAAUCGGGGGACCAGGGCUCUGCAGACAGCUCUGCCUGGG